UACGUAGGGUGCAAGCGUUGUCCGGAAUUAUUGGGCGUAAAGAGCUCGUAGGCGGUUCGUCGCGUCGGCUGUGAAGACCCGGAGCUCAACUCCGGGCCUGCAGUCGAUACGGGCGGACUGGAGUUCGGCAGGGGAGACUGGAAUUCCUGGUGUAGCGGUGAAAUGCGCAGAUAUCAGGAGGAACACCGGUGGCGAAGGCGGGUCUCUGGGCCGAUACUGACGCUGAGGAGCGAAAGCGUGGGGAGCGAACAGG
rnacentral:rRNA from 1 species